UUUCUAGAAGCCCAAUAUUGAAAGUAGUAGAAACUGUGGAGAUUUUAGACAAUAGGUUUGGCAAACACACUGGACAACUUCCAUCAGGCAUGCAGUGGAUAUGAAAGGAGUGACCACAAGUUAACAGUCGACAAUAGUCAUGGUCUUGGACUACACAAUUGUUUGCAUCACAAAGCUUUUCAGGAUCUGGUUGAUCCUUAUCCCAGGCAUAGCCAAGGGGAAGACUCCUCUGGUCAACAGUAGCAUCAAUUGUAGGUGUUCUGCACACUGUUGUGCAUUUCUCAUUUCAAAUUGUGCAAACUGCUGAGGGAGGCUUGAUUGAAAGAAGGUUGAGAAGAGACUAAUACACUUAUUGGAAAACAGCUGCUGUAUGGAGACAAUAUCAAUUCCUCCUCUACAUUGCUGGUUCUUUACAAGCACAUUUGUAUGCA